CAAAGGCUAAGAGAUUGAACCAAAACUCUAUUGUAAUAAUUCAGGUGGGCGAUGACCAGGGCUCAGGACGUUGUCAAUAGAAAUGGAGGAAAGGGAGAUUCCAGAGACAUUUGGGAGGCAGAAUGGAUGGAAUACUUCAGUGCUAUCUUUCCCGGCUCCCCAGCUAUAUCUGGAGCUGCUGACUACCUCCAGCUGCAAGCUGAAGCCUUCCUGAAAAGGGCCAACUGUAAAAGAAGUCUGCAUUGGCACAGAACAAUUGAGGCUGGAAGCGAGUGAGUCAGACUCAGCAGAAAUGUCAAGCUAGCUGUGAAGCCAAGAGAUUAGAGUGCAGCACGCCACUGGGCAGACAGAACUGGAGGUUCCAACCACAGAUUAGCCUGCCCAGACAGCUGUGUGGACGAGAUGACUGAUGCCACACCCAGCUUAUUAGUCACGUUCAUGUUCAAGGGAUUAACAGCAUCAUUUUGUGUGCCCCCCACACCACCCCCCCCUGGCAAAGGACCAUGUUCAUUUAUGACCUAAAGCAAUUUAGUAUGGUGAUUGUCAUUCUACCUUUUCUUAUGGUUAGCGCUGGGGAUUUCAGAUUCAAUAUUAUCCUAUCCCAGUAUUUCGCCCAUUUCCUUAGAAUAACCAUCCAGGGAGUAUUCCCUGAGCAGCUAGCUUUACUCUCAAGACUUCCUAAGUUCUUUCCCAGUUGCUCCUCACAUGUGUGAAAGAAAGAAUGCAGGUCUUUGGAGGCCUAGGUUUGAAUUCCACAGCUACUUACUAGUCACGGGAUUCUGGGAAAGUUACUUAAUCUCUCUGAGCUUUGGAAGUAGGAUAAUAAUACCUGCUUUGCAAAGUUGUAGCCCAGAUUGAAAGUGCCUGGUACACAGAAGGUUCUCAAUAAAGGAGUUCUCCCUCACACCAA